rnacentral:rRNA from 1 species
CGUAGACUCCUACGGGAGGCAGCAGUGAGGAAUAUUGGUCAAUGGACGGAAGUCUGAACCAGCCAAGUAGCGUGCAGGAUGACGGCCCUAUGGGUUGUAAACUGCUUUUGUAUGGGGAUAAAGUUAGGGACGUGUCCCUAUUUGCAGGUACCAUACGAAUAAGGACCGGCUAAUUCCGUGCCAGCAGCCGCGGUAAUACGGAAGGUCCAGGCGUUAUCCGGAUUUAUUGGGUUUAAAGGGAGCGUAGGCUGGAGAUUAAGUGUGUUGUGAAAUGUAGACGCUCAACGUCUGAAUUGCAGCGCAUACUGGUUUCCUUGAGUACGCACAACGUUGGCGGAAUUCGUCGUGUAGCGGUGAAAUGCUUAGAUAUGACGAAGAACUCCGAUUGCGAAGGCAGCUGACGGGAGCGCAACUGACGCUUAAGCUCGAAGGUGCGGGUAUCAAACAGGAUUAGAUACCCUGGUAG